rnacentral:rRNA from 1 species
UACUCCUACGGGAGGCAGCAGUAGGGAAUCUUCGGCAAUGGACGGAAGUCUGACCGAGCAACGCCGCGUGAGUGAAGAAGGUUUUCGGAUCGUAAAGCUCUGUUGUAAGAGAAGAACGAGUGUGAGAGUGGAAAGUUCACACUGUGACGGUAUCUUACCAGAAAGGGACGGCUAACUACGUGCCAGCAGCCGCGGUAAUACGUAGGUCCCGAGCGUUGUCCGGAUUUAUUGGGCGUAAAGCGAGCGCAGGCGGUUAGAUAAGUCUGAAGUUAAAGGCUGUGGCUUAACCAUAGUACGCUUUGGAAACUGUUUAACUUGAGUGCAAGAGGGGAGAGUGGAAUUCCAUGUGUAGCGGUGAAAUGCGUAGAUAUAUGGAGGAACACCGGUGGCGAAAGCGGCGCUCUGGCUUGUAACUGACGCUGAGGCUCGAAAGCGUGGGGAGCAAACAGGAUUAGAUACCCUGGUAGUCCACGCCGUAAACGAUGAGUGCUAGGUGUUAGACCCUUUCCGGGGUUUAGUGCCGUAGCUAACGCAUUAAGCACUCCGCCUGGGGAGUACGACCGCAAGGUUGAAACUCAAAGGAAUUGACGGA